CCCCUCCGCCAGCUAGCAGGGUUGUUGUCAUGGCAACCACCGUCCCUCCAGUGGACGUCACAGCCGGGAGCUGGAGGAUGAAGCCGCAUGCAGCUCCGCUAUCCUGUGGCUCUUGGAGGGUACCUGUGACUUCUGGUGUCUCUCCUGCAACAGUGGUUGCUGCAGCACUGCAAAUAAUUUAAUGCUAGAUCUCUGCUUCCGCCCGUCACCUAACCAGCGCCAUCAGACACCAAGAGAACAACCGAUCGAGCAGCGUCUGCAGGCGUCAUGUCGUGGUUGUUCUUGGACUGGUUCGUCCCUCUCUACCUGCUGGUGUCAGUUUUGGUGCUGGCGGGCUUCGGAGCAUGUCUGUAUUUCCUAGAGCCCGGGCUGCAGGAUGCCCACAAGUGGAGCAACAAAACAGUCCGGCAUCACCCGCUGGUGGCCAGUGUGAACUGCAGAGAUGACGAUAGCAAUGCCCUGAUAUGAUCAAGAGGGUGAGGCGAAUCGGGCGGGCGGUUGGCCAUCUGGACAUCGGUGCUGCUAGGACCUCGGGAGCCAACACCUUAACAAUCGACAAAGAAAAAACAAUGAAAAGAAUGGAUGGGAGAUUAUCUGACAGUUCAAGGCCUGCCCUGCCCAGCUUUUCUCUGAUCUCUAGGAGUUCUGUCUGAAGAUCAGGGGAAAGAGAAUACGACAGGUUUAAAAUAAUUUCUAAAAAUAAAGCCAAACGCACAAGGAGAACAAGACUACACGUAGAAAGAGAUUGUGAACUGACUGCUGCCCUUUAGAAAUGUGUUUGUAAAUGUCAUGCCAUCUUGCACUUGUGCCAACUUUUGCAUACGUUUUGUAAUUCGACAAUCACCUUGCCAUGCCGUAUAUCAUGGAGUUUACUUAAGUCGUGCAUUUAAUUAGUGGGGUGAAUAAUGACUUCUGCUGCGGCGGGGAGGGUUUUUAAUUCUCUCUCUGAUGUCGGCGUGGCAGCUGCUGAUAGCAUGUGGAUUGUUAGCGCAGCCGGGCCAAAAAUGAUCUAGUAGUGACUUAACUAAAGUAAAAUGCAACAGAAAUAUUCAAAGUGCCAAGGUUAUCCUAGAUGGAUCAAGAUGCAGAAAAAUAGGCCUAGUGUUGUUUAGUAAUGUACUUUUUUUUUCAUUCUUUUUACUUGACAGCAUGGCGGGGAAAUUGAGUUAGAGAUCAUAUGCUUCCUUUGUUCAUAAAAUAAAACUGUUGAAUCCUAA